UACGUAGGUGGCAAGCGUUACUCGGAAUCACUAGGCGUAAAGCGCAGGUAGGAGGUUUGAUAAGUCUGUUGUGAAAGCUCCCGGCUUAACUGGGAGAGGUCAACGGAAACUAUUAGGCUAGAGUGCGGUAGAGGUGGCUGGAAUUCCCGGUGUAGCGGUGAAAUGCGUAGAUAUCGGGAGGAAUACCUAUGGCGAAAGCAGGCUACUGGACCGUCACUGACUCUGAUCUGCGAAAGCUAGGGGAGCAAACAGG
rnacentral:rRNA from 1 species